GAACCUGUAGCUCAACGGUGAGAGCGCACGCUUGAUAAGCGUGAGGCUAGGAGUUCAAGUCUCUUCAGGUUCA
rnacentral:tRNA from 1 species